UACGAAGGGGGCUAGCGUUGUUCGGAAUCACUGGGCGUAAAGCGCACGUAGGCGGACUUUUAAGUCGGGGGUGAAAUCCUGGAGCUCAACUCCAGAACUGCCUUCGAUACUGGAAGUCUGGAGUCCGGGAGAGGUGAGUGGAACUCCUAGUGUAGAGGUGAAAUUCGUAGAUAUUAGGAAGAACACCAGUGGCGAAGGCGGCUCACUGGCCCGGUACUGACGCGGAGGUGCGAAAGCGUGGGGAGCAAACAGG
rnacentral:rRNA from 1 species